UUGUCAGAAGUAUUUUUUCUUAACAGUGUCAAUUGCAAGAUCCUCUUGAAGUAGCUUUUAAAUUUAUUGGCUAGACAGAAUCUGCACCGAACGGAUGUCCGAACUGCAACACUUUGGGGCAAACAGUAAUCGGAUGUCAGAGUAGAUGGAAAACAUAAUGAGGAGAUGGAGACGUUAACUGGGCAAAGAGGGAACAGGCAAUGACCUUCCGGCGUUUGCCGGCAGACCAAAAAGGCUGUCCGACCUUCCAUUUGUAGGGUAUAUGUAUUGUGAUAAAUGUAAUGCAAUGUCUGGUCAGCAGUUUUACGAGCAUUUUUAUUUGCACAAAAGAAGCACAAAC